rnacentral:rRNA from 1 species
UACGUAGGUGGCAAGCGUUGUCCGGAUUUACUGGGCGUAAAGAGCGCGCAGGCGGCUGGUCAAGUCCGAUGUGAAAUCUCCCGGCUCAACUGGGAAACUGCAUCGGAAACUGAUCGGCUUGAAGGUGGGAGAGGGUAGUGGAAUACCCAGUGUAGAGGUGAAAUUCGUAGAGAUUGGGUGGAACACCAGUGGCGAAGGCGCCUGUCUGGCUGACAACUGACGCUGAGACUCGAAAGCAUGGGGAGCAAACAGG